rnacentral:lncRNA from 1 species
CGGGGGAAGAGAGGAAUGCUGGGGCAGGUGCCCGGAUGUGGGCUGGGCGCGUGCGCAGUGGGCUCCCGCGCAGUGGGCUCCCGCCCUGGUAGGUCGAGCCCAUCACCCCAAGCCGUGGCUCCGCGGCCGUCCUGGAAGCGGGAGCUGGUGCGGGAAACCGGGCGUUCCGUGAGAGCUCAGCGGGUCUGGCCUGCGCGGGAACCACUCCGAGGAGGGGCGGGGACGAGGAGUGCGCGGAGCUGCCAGGAAGAGCCAGGAAUCCUUUUCUCUUCCUCGCCAUCCUUUGCUUGGGAAUGGCGUCCGAUGCCCCAACACUUAAUCACACUUUGGAUGCGCAGUGGGAGGAGUGGAAGACAAAACACAACAAAAUCUACAGCAAAGUUGGUGACAUCAAAAGUGUUCCUGGGAAACAGAGAGAGACUCCAUAGCUGGGGAGGAGCUCCCAGAAGCCAGGUCAAACCAAGAAUGAAGAAGGAAAAAGGAGAGCAGUAUGGGAGGAGAACUUGA